rnacentral:tRNA from 1 species
GAGGGUGUAACUCAAAGUGGUAGAGUGCAUGCUUAAAAUGCAUGAGGUCCUGGGUUCUAUCUCCAGUAUCUCCU